UGCCCGAUAGCUCAGUGGUAGAGCAGGUGACUGUUAAUCACUUGGUCGCAGGUUCGAAUCCUGCUCGGGCAGCCA
rnacentral:tRNA from 1 species